UACGUAGGGUGCGAGCGUUAAUCGGAAUUACUGGGCGUAAAGCGUGCGCAGGCGGUUUUGUAAGCCAGAUGUGAAAUCCCCGGGCUCAACCUGGGAAUGGCAUUUGGGACUGCAAGGCUUGAGUGUGGCAGAGGAGACUGGAAUUCCUGGUGUAGCAGUGAAAUGCGUAGAUAUCAGGAGGAAUACCGAUGGCGAAGGCAGGUCUCUGGGCUGACACUGACGCUCAUUCACGAAAGCGUGGGGAGCAAACAGG
rnacentral:rRNA from 1 species